rnacentral:rRNA from 1 species
CCUACGGGAGGCAGCAGUGGGGAAUAUUGGGCAAUGGAGGAAACUCUGACCCAGCGACGCCGCGUGCGGGAUGAGGGCCUUCGGGUUGUAAACCGCUUUCAGCAGGGAAGAAGCGAAAGUGACGGUACCUGCAGAAGAAGCACCGGCUAACUAUGUGCCAGCAGCCGCGGUAAUACAUAGGGUGCAAGCGUUGUCCGGAAUUAUUGGGCGUAAAGAGCUCGUAGGUGGUUCGUCACGUCGGAUGUGAAAAUCUGGGGCUUAACCCCAGACCUGCAUUCGAUACGGGCGAGCUUGAGUAUGGUAGGGGAGUCUGGAAUUCCUGGUGUAGCGGUGGAAUGCGCAGAUAUCAGGAGGAACACCAAUGGCGAAGGCAGGACUCUGGGCCAUUACUGACACUGAGGAGCGAAAGCGUGGGGAGCGAACAGGAUUAGAUACCCUGGUAGUCCACGCCGUAAACGGUGGGCACUAGUUGUGGGGACCUUCCACGGUCUCUGCGACGCAGCUAACGCAUUAAGUGCCCCGCCUGGGGNGAGANCGCAGAUAACUACAAGAAGUAGACGCGNGAGACGNGCGAGCGACGACGAGGGAGAG